rnacentral:rRNA from 1 species
UACGUAGGGGUCUAGCGUUGUCCGGAAUUAUUGGGCGUAAAGAGCUCGUAGGCGGUUCGGCAAGUCGGAUGUGAAAUCUCCACGCUUAACGUGGAGGGGCCAUUCGAAACUGCCGUGACUCGAGUCCGGUAGGGGAGUGCGGAAUUCCCGGUGUAGCGGUGAAAUGCGCAGAUAUCGGGAGGAACACCUAUGGCGAAGGCAGCUCGCUGGGACGUUACUGACGCUGAGACGCGAAAGCGUGGGGAGCAAACAGG